GGCUAGUAUGGUGUAGUGGUUUCAGUGUUAGACUAUGACUCUGUAGAACAGGGUUCAAAUCCCUGCUUAGCCA